CCUACGGGGGGCAGCAGUGGGGGAUAUUGCACAAUGGGGGAAACCCUGAUGCAGCGACGCCGCGUGGGUGAAGAAGUAUUUCGGUAUGUAAAGCCCUAUCAGCAGGGAAGAAAGAAGACGGUACCUGACUAAGAAGCCCCGGCUAACUACGUGCCAGCAGCCGCGGUAAUACGUAGGGGGCGAGCGUUAUCCGGAUUCACUGGGGGUAAAGGGAGCGUAGACGGCCGUGCAAGCCAGGAGUGAAAGCCCGGGGCCCAACCCCGGGACUGCUCUUGGAACUGUGCGGCUGGAGUGCGGGAGGGGCAGGCGGAAUUCCUGGUGUAGCGGUGAAAUGCGUAGAUAUCAGGAGGAACACCGGCGGCGAAGGCGGCCUGCUGGACCGCGACUGACGUUGAGGCUCGAAAGCGUGGGGAGCGAACAGGAUUAGAUACCCUUGUAGUC
rnacentral:rRNA from 1 species